GAUGAACGCUGGCGGCGUGCCUAAUACAUGCAAGUCGAGCGAACAGACGAGGAGCUUGCUCCUCUGACGUUAGCGGCGGACGGGUGAGUAACACGUGGAUAACCUACCUAUAAGACUGGGAUAACUUCGGGAAACCGGAGCUAAUACCGGAUAAUAUAUUGAACCGCAUGGUUCAAUAGUGAAAGACGGUUUUGCUGUCACUUAUAGAUGGAUCCGCGCCGCAUUAGCUAGUUGGUAAGGUAACGGCUUACCAAGGCAACGAUGCGUAGCCGACCUGAGAGGUUGAUCGGCCACACUGGAACUGAGACACGGUCCAGACUCCUACGGGAGGCAGCAGUAGGGAAUCUUCCGCAAUGGGCGAAAGCCUGACGGAGCAACGCCGCGUGAGUGAUGAAGGUCUUCGGAUCGUAAAACUCUGUUAUUAGGGAAGAACAAAUGUGUAAGUAACUAUGCACGUCUUGACGGUACCUGAUCAGAAAGCCACGGCUAACUACGUG
rnacentral:rRNA from 1 species